rnacentral:rRNA from 1 species
AAAGGGUGAUAGCCCCGUACACUAAAAUGCACAGGUCGUGAGUUCGAUGAGUAGGGCGGGACACGUGACAUCCUGUCUGAAUAUGGGGGGACCAUCCUCCAAGGCUAAAUACUCCUGACUGACCGAUAGUGAACCAGUACCGUGAGGGAAAGGCGAAAAGAACCCCGGCGAGGGGAGUGAAAUAGAACCUGAAACCGUGUACGUACAAGCAGUGGGAGCACCUUCGUGGUGUGACUGCGUACCUUUUGUAUAAUGGGUCAGCGACUUAUAUUUUGUAGCAAGGUUAACCGUAUAGGGGAGCCGUAGGGAAACCGAGUCUUAACUGGGCGAUUAGUUGCAAGGUAUAGACCCGAAACCCGGUGAUCUAGCCAUGGGCAGGUUGAAGGUUGGGUAACACUAACUGGAGGACCGAACCGACUAAUGUUGAAAAAUUAGCGGAUGACUUGUGGCUGGGGGUGAAAGGCCAAUCAAACCGGGAGAUAGCUGGUUCUCCCCGAAAGCUAUUUAGGUAGCGCCUCGUGAACUCAUCUUCGGGGGUAGAGCACUGUUUCGGCUAGGGGGCCAUCCCGGCUUACCAAACCGAUGCAAACUCCGAAUACCGAAGAAUGUUAUCACGGGAGACACACGGCGGGUGCUAACGUCCGUCGUGAAGAGGGAAACAACCCAGACCGCCAGCUAAGGUCCCAAAGUCAUGGUUAAGUGGGAAACGAUGUGGGAAGGCAUAGACAGCCAGGAUGUUGGCUUAGAAGCAGCCAUCAUUUAAAGAAAGCGUAAUAGCUCACUGGUCGAGUCGGCCUGCGCGGAAGAUGUAACGGGGCUAAACCAUGCACCGAAGCUGCGGCAGCGACGCUUAG